GACGAACGCUGGCGGCGUGCUUAACACAUGCAAGUCGAACGGAAAGGCCCUGCUUUUGUGGGGUGCUCGAGUGGCGAACGGGUGAGUAACACGUGAGUAACCUGCCCUUGACUUUGGGAUAACUUCAGGAAACUGGGGCUAAUACCGGAUAGGAGCUCCUGCUGCAUGGUGGGGGUUGGAAAGUUUCGGCGGUUGGGGAUGGACUCGCGGCUUAUCAGCUUGUUGGUGGGGUAGUGGCUUACCAAGGCUUUGACGGGUAGCCGGCCUGAGAGGGUGACCGGCCACAUUGGGCCUGGGAUGCGGCCCAGCCUCCUCCGGGAGGCAGCAGUGGGGAAUAUUGCACAAUGGGCGGAGGCCUGAUGCAGCACCGCCGCGUGCGGGAUGACGGCCUUCGGGUUGUAAACCGCUUUCGCCUGUGCCGAAGCGUGAGUGACGGUACUGGGUAAAGAAGCACCGGCUAACUACGUG
rnacentral:rRNA from 1 species